rnacentral:rRNA from 1 species
CCUACGGGAGGCAGCAGUGGGGAAUCUUGCGCAAUGGGCGAAAGCCUGACGCAGCCAUGCCGCGUGAAUGAUGAAGGUCUUAGGAUUGUAAAAUUCUUUCAGUAGGGACGAUAAUGACGGUACCUACAGAAGAAGCCCCGGCUAACUUCGUGCCAGCAGCCGCGGUAAUACGAAGGGGGCUAGCGUUGCUCGGAAUUACUGGGCGUAAAGGGAGCGUAGGCGGACAUUUAAGUCAGGGGUGAAAUCCCAGAGCUCAACUCUGGAACUGCCUUUGAUACUGGGUGUCUUGAGUGUGAGAGAGGUAUGUGGAACUCCGAGUGUAGAGGUGAAAUUCGUAGAUAUUCGGAAGAACACCAGUGGCGAAGGCGACAUACUGGCUCAUUACUGACGCUGAGGCUCGAAAGCGUGGGGAGCAAACAGGAUUAGAUACCCUGGUAGUCCACGCCGUAAACGAUGAUUGCUAGUUGUCGGGAUGUUUACAUCUCGGUGACGCAGCUACGCAUAAGACAUCCGCCGUGGGAGGUACGGUCGCGAGAAUUAAACUACGAAGAAGUAGACGGCGUGAGACGUGCGACGGACGACGACGAGGGAGGAGG